rnacentral:lncRNA from 1 species
CUCUCUCUCUGUCUCUCUCUCUCUCGUCUCUCUUCCUUUCCCCCCUCCACCACUUGGGACCUGAGCGAGAGGACUGCAGCAGGCGAGUUCCGGAAGGCUGAAUCCCCAGGUCCCAGCCCCGGACCGCGGCAACUCGCCCCUGCGGCACGCCCGGCCCGGCUGCGCCCCCACUCAGCGAUGGAGAAACAGCCCAGAUCUCCUCUUAAGCGGAAAAGAGAUUGACCUUCUAGCAGAGGCAAAGAAUGGAGUCUUCUGGGGGCAGCUGCAAAGCGUUCUCCCUAGGACAGAUGGAGCCUCCCUUUCCUCAUCUACUCUGUGGGUGGUUUCAGGGCCCACGAGUCAACAUGAGGAGUUGUGCUGGUGGUAUGUGUGUUGGAGGCUGGGCUGGCUGAUUCACAGUGACGAGGAUGUCAAUAAUAACAAGAAUGAGAAUGAUGGUACCUAAUAAAGACUUUUUUUCCCAA